rnacentral:rRNA from 1 species
AUUGAACGCUGGCGGCAUGCCUUACACAUGCAAGUCGAACGGCAGCACGGGAGCAAUCCUGGUGGCGAGUGGCGAACGGGUGAGUAAUAUAUCGGAACGUGCCCAGUCGUGGGGGAUAACGUAGCGAAAGCUACGCUAAUACCGCAUACGAUCUAUGGAUGAAAGCGGGGGAUCGCAAGACCUCGCGCGAUUGGAGCGGCCGAUAUCAGAUUAGGUAGUUGGUGGGGUAAAGGCUCACCAAGCCGACGAUCUGUAGCUGGUCUGAGAGGACGACCAGCCCCACUGGGACUGGGACACGGCCCAGACUCCUACGGGAGGCAGCAGUGGGGAAUUUUGGACAAUGGGCGCAAGCCUGAUCCAGCAAUGCCGCGUGCAGGAUGAAGGCCUUCGGGUUGUAAACUGCUUUUGUACGGAGCGAAAAGGCUCUCUCUAAUACAGGGGGCUCAUGACGGUACCGUAAGAAUAAGCACCGGCUAACUACGUGCCAGCAGCCGCAGUAAAAC